rnacentral:sRNA from 1 species
UGAUGAAAGUAUGAUUCAAGUUGUAAAUCAAGUUCCAUCUGUGUAGGAUCUCUUGGUGAGAUCCUUAGUGUUUUAGAAUGAAAGUAGGAGCUCAGUCUUAGGGGUCAUUCUGAAACUCUAAUGGCUAAUCAUACUCAAGUAGAGGGAUUAAUCCAUGUGGUGAGGAGUAGCAGGAGGUCUUAGUCUUGGGGGCUUCCAGUAUGCCUCAAGGCCCGGAACAGGCUAACCUCGUGAGUGUGGCAGGGUGGGGAACCCAAGUUUCAUAAGUCACCGCGAGUGCAGGACCCGCCAUAGCUCGACUAUCAUUCUAAAAUCCGGACGAAUCAAGUCUAGAAGAUAACAUGCUAGGAUAGGAAGAUGAGGUUUCUUUGGAGGCAACAUUGGAGAGAAAUGAAGAUGAUGCUGCAGCUUAGACUCACUAGGAAUUCUUAGUUCUCUUAUGUCAUUUUGAAGUUUUAAUUUCUUAGUAAAUUCUGGAAAACU